AUACGGAGGGUGCAAGCGUUAAUCGGAUUUACUGGGCGUAAAGCGCGCGUAGGCGGCUUGUUAAGUCGGAUGUGAAAGCCCUGGGCUCAACCUAGGAACUGCAUUCGAUACUGGCGAGCUAGAGUACGAUAGAGGGUGGUAGAAUUCCUAGUGUAGCGGUGAAAUGCGUAGAUAUUAGGAGGAAUACCGGUGGCGAAGGCGGCCACCUGGAUCGAUACUGACGCUGAAGUGCGAAAGCGUGGGGAGCAAACAGGAUUAGAUACCCUGGUAGUCCACGCCGUAAACUAUGUCUACUAGCCGUUGGGAGACUUGAUCUCUUAGUGGCGCAGCUAACGCGAUAAGUAGACCGCCUGGGGAGUACGGUCGCAAGACUAAA
rnacentral:rRNA from 1 species